rnacentral:rRNA from 1 species
UGAUGACGAGACGCUAAGGCGUUGAAGCAGUGUAUGUCAGACUUCCAAGAAAAGCUCGCAAUGUCACAAAUAAAAGAUGCCUGUACCAUAACCGACACAGGUGGGUAGGUAGAGUAUACUAAGGGGCGCGAGAUAACUCUCUCUAAGGAACUCGGCAAAAUGACUCCGUAACUUCGGGAGAAGGAGUGCCUUAUUUAUAAGGUUGCAAUAACAAGAUCCAAGCAACUGUUUAUCAAAAACACAGGUCUCCGCUAAGUCGUAAGACGAUGUAUGGGGGCUGACGCCUGCCCAGUGCCAGAAGGUUAAAGAAGUUGGUUAGUGUAUGCGAAGCUGAUGACUGAAGCCCUGGUGAACGGCGGCCGUAACAAUAACGGUCCUAAGGUAGCGAAAUUCCUUGUCGGGUAAGUUCCGACCCGCACGAAAGGCGUAAUGAUUUGGAUACUGUCUCGGAGAGAGGCUCGGUGAAGUAGACUUGUCUGUGAAGAUGCGGACUACCUGCACCAGGACAGAAAGACCCUAUGAAGCUUUACUGUAACUUGAAAUUGGAAUUGGACUUUGCUUGCGCAGUAUAGGUGGGAAGCGUUGAAAAUAUUCUUGCGGGAGUAUUGGAGCUAUCAGUGAGAUACCACUCUUGUAAUGUUAGAUUUCUAACUUUGAACCAUAAUCUGGUCAAAGAACAGUUUCAGGUGGGCAGUUUGACUGGGGCGGUCGCCUCCCAAAUGGUAACGGAGGCGUACAAAGGUUUCCUCUGAACGGAUAGAAAUCGUAUCUAGAGUGUAAAGGCAUAAGGAAGCUUGACUGUGAGACCUACAAGUCGAGCAGGGACGAAAGUCGGUCUUAGUGAUCUGACGGUACUGAGUGGAAAGGCCGUCACUCAACGGAUAAAAGUUACUCUAAGGAUAACAGGCUGAUCUCCCCCAAGAGUUCACAUCGACGGGGAGGUUUGGCACCUCGAUGUCGGCUCAUCGCAUCCUGGGGCGGUAGUACGUCCCAAGGGUUGGGCUGUUCGCCCAUGAAAGCGGUACGCGAGCUGGGUUCAGAACGUCGUGAGACAGUUCGGUCCAUAUCCGGUGUAGGCGCUAGAAUAUUGAGAGGAGCCUUCUUUAGUACGAGAGGACCGAGAAGGACACACCGCUGGUGUACCAGUUAUCGUGCCAACGGUAAACGCUGGGUAGCUAUGUGUGGAGUGGAUAACCGCUGAAAGCAUCUAAGUGGGAAGCCCACCUCGAGAUGAGUAUUCUC